rnacentral:rRNA from 1 species
UAUAGUGUGUGCUAGCGAUUGGAAAUGCUAGUCUAAGCGUUUAGGGAGUUACAGUAGGCAAAUCCGCUGUAACAAUUCUGAGGCGUGAUGGGGAAGGUCAUUAAGACCGAAGUACAUGAUUCCAUGCUUCCAAGAAAAGCAUCUAGAGAGAGAAGUAGUGCCCGUACCGCAAACCGACACAGGUAGAUGAGGAGAGAAUCCUAAGGCCGGCGGAAGAAUUGCAGUUAAGGAACUAGGCAAAUUGACCCCGUAAGUUCGCGAGAAGGGGUGCCUGUGAGAGCAGGCCGCAGAUAAUAGGCCCAAGCAACUGUUUAGCAAAAACACAGGUCUCUGCUAAAGCGUAAGCUGAUGUAUAGGGGCUGACGCCUGCCCGGUGCUGGAAGGUUAAGGGGAACACUUAGCGCAAGCGAAGGUGUGAACUUAAGCCCCAGUAAACGGCGGCCGUAACUAUAACGGUCCUAAGGUAGCGAAAUUCCUUGUCAGGUAAGUUCUGACCCGCACGAAUGGCGUAAUGACUUGGGCACUGUCUCAACUGCAAAUCCGGCGAAGUUGUAGUGCGAGUGAAGAUGCUCGCUACCCGCGAUUGGACGGAAAGACCCCGUAGAGCUUUACUGUAGCUUAGCAUUGAAUUCCGGUAUUGUCUGUACAGGAUAGGUGGGAGACUGGGAAACUAGGGCGUCAGCCUUAGUGGAGUCAACCUUGGAUACCACCCUGACAGUACUGGGGUUCUAACAGGACGCCAUGAAACUGGUGACUGGACAUUGUUAGGUGGGCAGUUUGACUGGGGCGGUCGCCUCCUAAAAAGUAACGGAGGCGCCCAAAGGUUCCCUCAGAACGGUCGGAAAUCGUUCGUAGAGUGCAAAGGCAGAAGGGAGCCUGACUGCGAGACCCACAAGUCGAGCAGGGACGAAAGUCGGGCUUAGUGAUCCGGUGGUACCUCGUGGGAGGGCCAUCGCUCAACGGAUAAAAGCUACCUCGGGGAUAACAGGCUGAUCUCCCCCAAGAGUCCACAUCGACGGGGAGGUUUGGCACCCUGAUGUCGGCUCGUCGCAUCCUGGGGCUGUAGUAGGUCCCAAGGGUUGGGCUGUUCGCCCAUUAAAGCGGCACGCGAGCUGGGUUCAGAACGUCGUGAGACAGUUCGGUCCCUAUCCGUCGCGGGCGUAGGAAAUUUGAGAGGAGCUGUCCUUAGUACGAGAGGACCGGGAUGGACUGACCUCUGGUGCACCAGUUGUUCUGCCAAGAGCAUAGCUGGGUAGCUAAGUCGGGAAGGGAUAAACGCUGAAAGCAUCUAAGCGUGAAGCCCCCCUCAAGAUGAGAUUUCCCAUAGCAUAAGCUAGUAAGACCCCUUGAAGAACACAAGGUUGAUAGGUCAGAGGUGGAAGUGCGGUAACGUAUGUAGCUGACUGAUACUAAUAGGUCGAGGGCUUGAGC